AUGGAACUCUUUUGGCCUUUUCAGAUACUUCACUUUCAUGUUUGGUAUCUCCAAAAGUGGGUGUCUUUUUAAUAGAUGGAACUCUUUUGGCCUUUUCAGCAACUUCACUUUCAGGUUUGGUAUCUCCAAAAGUUGGUUUCUUCUUAAUAGAUGGAACAGUGUUAAGUGGCUCUGGAUUGAUUGUUGCUGUCCUUAUUGGCACACUUUUAUCUGGAAGUUUUGGUCUUGGUUUUGAAACUUCAUCUGAUAAGAUUCAAUGUUAAGAAGAAAGUUAUGUUACAAAGUAGUAAUAAAGACCUAUAAAUUUAACUGUGUGAGACGGGGGAUCAAAUUCAACGUUAGGUUGUUACUUCACAUCUGCUUUAUUCUUGGUGGACAAAAUUACCUAAUACCUGUGUUGGUGGGAGGUAACGGGCUUACGAUGAAGUAUUAGAGGUUCGUACAAGUAGGCCCGCACACCACCAUUAUACCCCCAAAAAAACAAAAAAAAUGGAAAUUUUGCAAGAUUUCUUCCUACCUGAGAACUUUUCGGGCUUCUUAGGGAUAAUAUCAUCUGCUUUAGUCUUGGUAAAAGGUUUAUCAGCUCCUCCACUAUUUGUCCUUCUGUGGUCUUUUUCACUCUUGUCUUCGAUUGAUUUUACAGCAAAUGCAGCUGCUGCCACUGCAGCUGGAUAGUCAACACUAUCGCUAGAAUCAUAAUCGCGACUCAUUGUUCUUAUAAACUGUCUGUACAACCAGCUAGGUGCUCUUUUUGUCUCUGCCAAAAACAAAAACCAAACUUUUAGUAUAUUAUUCAGAAGUUUUACUAUUACAAUGUUCUUGUUUUCCUAAGAUUGAGAUUUUGAGUCUAGGUUACUACCUUUAAAAGGUUGAGUUUUCUGUGGCGGUAUUGUUCUAUCUCUUGUGCUGCUGCUUCCUCCUUUCUCUUCUUCUCCUACACCGGAGAAUCUCACCCUAGAACAGUAUAUUAAUUGUAACGCGAAAAAGCUAUAUCUCUAUGCUAGAAUUUGAAGUUGACGUGUUACGUUACCUCAUUUGCUUAAGCAUAUCCAUUCUUUCUUUGUAAUGAGGACCUUAUUUUGAUAUCUCAAAGAUUUGAUAAUAGUGAAAUUUGAAGGAGAAGCACAGGAGAAAAAAGGAAGCUUUCUUUUUCAGUUUGAUAAAAGCUGUGUUCUGCUUUUUGAUAUCUUUGAAUGUACUUAUUAAAGAAGAUAUCUUUGCAUGCAAGGGUUGGUUUUGGAUCUUGAAAACAAAGAUAUCAAGCAUUCUUUUCUUCUGUUAAAUGGUUUGCUUUUUCUUGAAGUGAUUCAGAUUCCUUUUAUAUAGAUAAAAAUUCCUUUAUCAGAAUCCCAUAGAAGAAAGAAAGAAAACAAAACUGAGAAUGUAAUAUAAAGCAACUUACUAGAAAAAUAAAACAAAGUAUUAAGUUUGAUCUGAAACUUCUCUAAACAUGUUGAUGAAAGGAAUCUAACGUCUUUAUCCUAAUCUAAAACUAAAUGAAAUUUAUAAUUUAUCUAUGCACAAGCAGGAGCUUGGAACCCUCUCAAGGUGGCAAAGACGAUAGAACGAGGAGCAACGGAGAUAGGCAACGUUGGAUCAACGAGCUGAGGAUUCAUUUCUGGGAUG
rnacentral:lncRNA from 1 species